rnacentral:rRNA from 1 species
GGGGGCGAAGGGGGGGCUCUGAUCACCCUCCUUACUACCUCAAACUUUGCUUCUGCGGGAACAGACGGCCCUGCGUCAACCGGCCGCCCCCGCCGGAGGACCCCUAACUCUGUUUUUAUAAUGUUUUUCUGAGUAAACAAGCAAAUAAAUUAAAACUUUUAACAACUGAUCUCUUGGCUCUGGCAUCGAUGAAGAACGGAGCGAAAUGCGAUAAGUAAUGUGAAUUGCAGAAUUCGGGGAAUCAUCAAAUCUUUGAACGCACAUUGCGCCCGCCAGUAUUCUGGCGGGCAUGCCUGUUCAAGCGUCAUUACAACCCUCAGGCCCCCGGGCCUGGCGUUGGGGAUCGGCGGAAGCCCCCUGUGGGCACACCCCGUCCCUCAAAUACAGUGGCGGUCCCGCCGCAGCUUCCAUUGCUUAGGAGCUAACACCUCGCAACUGGAGAGCGGCGCGGCCAUGCCGUAAAACACCCAACUUCUGAAUGUUGACCUCGAAUCACGGAGGAAUACCCGCUGAACUUAAGCAUAUCAAUAAGCGGGAGGAAA